CUGCUGGUAAAGGUCAUUACGUAUUACUUUACUUACCGGAGGAAAAGAAACCAACAGGGAUUGCCCUAGUAACGGCGAGUGAAGCGGAACAGCUCAAAUUUGAAAUCUGGCCUUCGGGUCCGAGUUGUAAUUUGUAGAGGAUGCUUUGGGUGAGGUACCUUCCGAGUUCCCUGGAACGGGACGCCAUAGAGGGUGAGAGCCCCGUCUGGUUGGAUACCGAUCCUCUGUAAAGCUCCUUCGACGAGUCGAGUAGUUUGGGAAUGCUGCUCUAAAUGGGAGGUAUAUGUCUUCUAAAGCUAAAUAUUGGCCAGAGACCGAUAGCGCACAAGUAGAGUGAUCGAAAGAUGAAAAGCACUUUGAAAAGAGAGUUAAAAAGUACGUGAAAUUGUUGAAAGGGAAGCGCUCAUGACCAGACUUGGGCUUGGUUGAUCAUCCAGGGUUCUCCCUGGUGCACUCUUCCAGCUCAGGCCAGCAUCAGUUCGCUGUGGGGGAUAAAGGCUUCGGGAAUGUGGCUCCUCCGGGAGUGUUAUAGCCCGCUGCGUAAUACCCUGUGGUGGACUGAGGUUCGCGCAUCUGCAAGGAUGCUGGCAUAAUGGUCAUCAGCGACCCGUCUUGAAACACGGACCAAGGAGUCGUCUUCGUAUGCGAGUGUUCGGGUGUUAAACCCCUACGCGUAAUGAAAGUGAACGCAGGUGAGAGCUUCGGCGCAUCAUCGACCGAUCCUGAUGUUCUCGGAUGGAUUUGAGUAAGAGCAUACGGGGCCGGACCCGAAAGAAGGUGAACUAUGCCUGUAUAGGGUGAAGCCAGAGGAAACUCUGGUGGAGGCUCGCAGCGGUUCUGACGUGCAAAUCGAUCGUCAAAUAUGGGCAUGGGGGCGAAAGACUAAUCGAACCUUCUAGUAGCUGGUUUCCGCCGAAGUUUCCCUCAGGAUAGCAGUGUUGAACUCAGUUUUAUGAGGUAAAGCGAAUGAUUAGGGACUCGGGGG
rnacentral:rRNA from 1 species